GAUGAACGCUGGUGGCGUGCCUAACACAUGCAAGUCGAGCGAUUCUCUUCGGAGAAGAGCGGCGGACGGGUGAGUAACGCGGGGGUAACCUGCCCUGUACACACGGAUAACAUACCGAAAGGAAUGCUAAGACGAGAUAACAAGCAUUGAUCGCAUGGUAGAAGUAUCAAAGCUUUUGCGGUACAGGAUGGACCCGCGUCUGAUUAGCUAGUUGGUGAGGUAACGGCUCACCAAGGCGACGAUCAGUAGCCGACCUGAGAGGGGGAUCGGCCACAUUGGAACUGAGACACGGUCCAGACUCCUACGGGAGGCAGCAGUGGGGAAUAUUGCACAAUGGGCGAAAGCCUGAUGCAGCAACGCCGCGUGAGCGAUGAAGGCCUUCGGGUCGUAAAGCUCUGUCCUCAAGGAAGAUAAUGACGGUACUUGAGGAGGAAGCCCCGGCUAACUACGUG
rnacentral:rRNA from 1 species